GGUCAGUGACCUGAAAGUGGUUUAUUAAAAUAUAAAAGAAAAGAUGAAAAUAGUAAAUAUUAUUAUUCAGAAUAAUAUAAUUGUAAAUAGUGAACAGGAUUCCAGGGCAAAUAGAGAAUAUGGGUCUCUAGGGCUGGGAUAAGGUGAGUCUAUGAAUGAAAUUUUUCUGAACAAGCAGCUGAAACAAGUAAGGGAAAUUAGCAAAUACAAGAAAUAUAAGAAACUUGGAUUUUAACUGGUGAGCCACUCUAAGUCUCCCGUUUAUUGUCUUUUCCGAACCCUUUCAAAGAAUAACUUAAAGCCAUUAAAGUUAUGUUAUUUUCAGACAAUGCAGAGUAACUUUUGGGAAAGACAUUUUUCAAGAAGAAAAAGUGGACGUCCUCGUCAGGGCGGGCAGCGGCAGCCGCAACUGCGGGCCUGGGGCUUGGGGCCUGGAGCCUGGGGCAGGGGCGAGGGUGGGCGGUCCCUCCCAGCACCCGGCGCGGCCCGCCCUGCCGCCCACCGUCCUGAAGGCCAAGGCGCUUUGUUCUGCAUUGCGGGCGGCUUCCAUGGCGGCGGCCCAGCGGAGGAGGAGUAGACUGCAGUGAGCCCGCUAGCUUGGCCAGCCCCGUGUACCCCGUGGCCCUAGCGGCAUGCCGGGAGGAGCGUUCAGGCUUCUGGUUUUUUAGUUGGAGACGUCCAGGACCUCUUUAUUAGAUGUUUAGGAAUUUCAGUUUUUCCGUAGGGCAGUGGUCAUCGUGAGCCUCUGUGGGGUCAGGCUGGGCUAACUGGGGUUUCGAUUGUAAGUUUCCUGUGGCCGAGGGCAUGUCUGACUGGGAAGAAAGUCCUUGGCAUGACUUCUUAGCUGUUGGGAGCUGUGCGGUGCGAGCGAGAUGGGCGGCGUGCACUCCCCGAGGACAGGCCUGAGUGGCCUUAGCCUAGUUACUCACGGGACUUGGUUUACCAGACAAGGGGAUAAAAACAUUCAGAUGGCAGAUAACAGUUUUUCAGAUGGGGUUCCUUCAGAUUCCGUGGAAGCUGCUAAAAAUGCAAGUAAUUCGGAAAAGCUCAUGGAUCAGGUGAUGCAGAAUCCUGGAGUUGUGGCAGCUUUACAGGAGCGACUUGACAAUGCCCCUCACACCCCUUCCAGCUACAUGGAAACUUUACCUAAAGCAGUAAAAAGAAGAAUUAAUGCAUUGAAACAAAUUCAGGUGAGAUGCGCUCAUAUAGAAGCCAAGUUCUAUGAAGAAGUUCAUGACUUGGGAAGAAAGUACACAGCAUUAUACCAGCCUCUCUUUAUCAAGAGAAAAGAACUUAUCACCGGUGAUGUUGAACCAACAUCUGAUAUGGAAUCAGAAUGGCACAGUGAAAAUGAAGAGGAGGAGAAAUUGGCUGGAGACGUGAAAAAAAUAAAGUAGUCAUAACAGAAAAAGCAGCAGCAACAGCUGAAGAGCCAAAUCCCGAAGGAAUUCCAGAGUUCUGGUUUACCAUCUUUAGAAUUAGUCCAGGAGUAUGAUGAACCAAUCUUGAAACACCUGCAGGAUAUUAAAGUGAAGUUUUCUGACCCUGGACAGCCUAUGUCCUUUAUAUUAGAGUUCCACUUUGAACCCAACUACUACUUUACCAACUCAGUCCUGAGGAAAACCUGCAAGAUGAAAUCAGAACCAGAUAAGGCUGAUCCCUUUUCAUUUGCAGGUCCUGAGAUCAUGGAUUGUGAGGGGUGUGUACUAUUGACUGGAAGAAAGGAAAGAAUGUUACUGUCAAAACCAUCAAGAAAAAGCAAAAGCAGAAGGGUCGAGGCACUGUUAGAACAAUUACUAAACAAGUAUCCAGUGAGUCAUUUUUCAACUUAUUCAAUCCACUGAAAGCGUCUGGGGAUAGAGAAUCACUGGAUAAAGAUUCUGAAUUCGUAUUAGCCUCUGGUUUGGAAAUUGGACUCUUUUUCCGUGAGCGGAUAGUCUAAAUUGGACACUUUUUCCAUGGGCUGUGCUAUACUUCGCUGGGGAGGCCUUAGAGGACGAUGACAAUUUUGACGAAGGUGAAGAAGAAGAGGAGGAAUUAGAAGGUGACGAGGAGGGAGAAGAUGAGGAUGAUGUGGAAAUUAACCCCAACAAGGAACCCAGCCAGCUGGCGGAAUGCAAGCAGCAGUACGAAGUGGAGGUGGGCGCCUGGCAGACCGGCUGUCGGGACUCCAAGCUUGUGGGGGACGCCUCAGUCUUCGCCGCAUGCGGCACAAUCCCGUCGACAGCGCUUACUCCAUCUAGAUCGUUUUCCAGUGCAUGAUUUUCACUUUCACUUUUCUUUUUUCCUUAUUGUUUUGCUUAACUUGUACAGUGGCAACUGAAAUGCAUUUCAGAAAUAGGAGGUUUCGUCCAGUACCAUCUGCAGCCUUGGUGCCUGUAGCUCUGGACUUGCCUGGGCCUUUCCCUGGGGGAGGGCUCCAUAGACCACGUUGGGGUGGGGUGGGGUGGGGUGGGGGUCACUUGGUAAAAAGGGCCGAGGUCUGGUGAUGAGGUUCCAGGGAUCUAGAACCUCUCCUACCGCUCCUGCAGUUGGACUGAAUUCUUCCCUUUCAUGUGAAGAAACCCACUCGCUGUUUCCAGCAGCUUAAUCUGCCGAGUGUGCAGCCUGCAUCACCUGCUGUAUGCUAAUCAUCUCAGAAGGACUGUGUAGAGUAGGGCCCGGUUCUCCUUAGGAUAUUGCUUCUUGAUUUUCUUCUUUUAGGGUUGGGUCAGGGUUGUGGCACACCACCUCAGGCGAGAGCUGCCAUAGGUCACUUCAUAUUUGUUUAUCCCUUCUUGCCUGGGAGGACUGUGGCCUUUUGCUGUCGCUCGUCCUUGCCAUUUCUGAACCACCCUGGUGACCUGAGCAGGAAGAUGUGCCACUUCUUAGCAGGCGCAAGGGCUGUGCGGAAGAAACACUGCUUCCUGCCACCAGGGCUGAAGACACGAGCCUGUCCUCGUGACAUAGACACCGCCCUGCUGCCGGAGCCGGGAUUCGACGAUCUUCUCCAGUGAGGGGCUGGGCUGGGAAGUCCUGCGUUUCAUUUGAGCAUAUGAGCAUCAAGUCCUGCUUUCUCAGUAGCCCCCUUGCUGGGCCCUACCAUUCAUCCUGUCUGAAGGUCCCGGUUUGGUGUGACCGCUUGGUGGCUGGCAAGUGGGGUUUCCAAGUGGGUGACAGUGCUCUCCGGCAGCCUGGGAUGGCCGUGUCCGCACUGACCAGGCCUGUAGAGAGUGCUCAGCCUAACCUUAGAACACAUUUAUAGCUGAAUACAGUGUUUUCAAUUUGUACGUAAUAGUUAGAAUAUUCUAUUAAAGUUAUGAAACAU